rnacentral:rRNA from 1 species
AUGAAUGCUAGGUGUUGGAGGGUUUCCGCCCUUCAGUGCCGCAGCUAACGCAUUAAGCAUUCCGCCUGGGGAGUACGACCGCAAGGUUGAAACUCAAAGGAAUUGACGGGGGCCCGCACAAGCGGUGGAGCAUGUGGUUUAAUUCGAAGCAACGCGAAGAACCUUACCAGGUCUUGACAUCUUUUGAUCACCUGAGAGAUCAGGUUUCCCCUUCGGGGGCAAAAUGACAGGUGGUGCAUGGUUGUCGUCAGCUCGUGUCGUGAGAUGUUGGGUUAAGUCCCGCAACGAGCGCAACCCUUAUGACUAGUUGCCAGCAUUUAGUUGGGCACUCUAGUAAGACUGCCGGUGACAAACCGGAGGAAGGUGGGGAUGACGUCAAAUCAUCAUGCCCCUUAUGACCUGGGCUACACACGUGCUACAAUGGAUGGUACAACGAGUUGCGAGACCGCGAGGUCAAGCUAAUCUCUUAAAGCCAUUCUCAGUUCGGACUGUAGGCUGCAACUCGCCUACACGAAGUCGGAAUCGCUAGUAAUCGCGGAUCAGCACGCCGCGGUGAAUACGUUCCCGGGCCUUGUACACACCGCCCGUCACACCAUGAGAGUUUGUAACACCCGAAGCCGGUGGCGUAACCCUUUUAGGGAGCGAGCCGUCUAAGGUGGGACAAAUGAUUAGGGUG